rnacentral:misc_RNA from 1 species
UUAACUAUUUUAUAGUACUCAGACGACAUUUAAUACAGAGUUGUGGUCCUCUGGCGGGCACGAUCCAGCCGAAGCCGGUGCUUGCGCGGCCCACCAAAGCAACAAAUUGAGAUAAUCAAGGGUUAGAAGGACCGGUUUCCCGGCUUCAUUUUUAAUGAUCCUUCCGCAGGUUCACCUACGGAAA